GUUCGAAUCCUUCCGUCCCAG
rnacentral:tRNA from 1 species